UCUUUGGAGAGCUUGAAGGAGAGCAGCUCAACGGGAAUGCGAUCUUGCUGGCCAAGACACUGCAGAAAUUUUCAAGUUGAAUAAGUAUAUCUUUGAAUCUCAUAUAUGAAGUCUGCCUAAGCUUACUACCUCACCUUCCAACCAUAUUACAGAUGGUUGAAAGGCAAAAUGGUAAAAGUGAAAUUGAAGAGAGAGAGCUUACUAUUGUACCGGUUUUCUUAGGGUAGGAAACAGUGGAAUUAGUGACAUAUAUUUGGGAUUUUUCAUAUUCCAUAACGAUUUUAUUGCACAUCAUUGUUAUAUAGUGUAAAUCCAUUAGUGGUGGGGUAUUAUAUUGGCACAACUCAAAUGCUUAUACACUAUUGUGUAAUUAUACUUACAGUUUACAAAUACACUUACAUUUGAUGCUAAGG